AGUUAACGUUGGCGGCGUGCCUAACACAUGCAAGUCGAACGCGUUCCGGGGGCAACCCCGGGAUGAGUGGCGAACGGGUGAGUAACACGUGGGUCAUCUUCCUUCAAGUGGGGAAUAAGCUCUCGAAAGGGAGUCUAAUACCGCAUGACGUGCCGGGACACAAGUCCCGUCAUUAAAGCCGCAAGGCGCUUGGAGAUGAGCCUGCGUCCUAUUAGCUAGUUGGUAGGGUAAUGGCCUACCAAGGCUCAGAUGGGUAGCCGGCCUGAGAGGGUGAACGGCCACACUGGGACUGAGACACGGCCCUGACUCCUACGGGAGGCAGCAGUGAGGAAUUUUGCGCAAUGGGGGAAACCCUGACGCAGCGACGCCGCGUGGAGGAUGAAGGCCUUCGGGUCGUAAACUCCUGUCAGAGGUGAAGAACGCCCGCAAGGGCUUGACGGUAACCUCAGAGGAAGCCCCGGCUAACUACGUGCCAGCAGCCGCGGUAAUACGUAGGGGGCAAACGUUACUCGGAAUUACUGGGCGUAAAGGGUGCGUAGGCGGCUGGGAAAGUCAAGGAUGAAAUCCCGUGGCUUAACUGCGGAACUGUCCUUGAAACUUCCCGGCUUGAGGAUAAUCGAAGAGAACGGAAUUCCCGGUGGAGCGGUGAAAUGCGUAGAUAUCGGGAGGAACACCUGAGGCGAAAGCGGUUCUCUAGACUACUCCUGACGCUGAGGCACGAAAGCUAGGGGAGCAAACGGAAUUAGAUACUCCGGUAGUCCUAGCCAUAAACGAUGGAUACUGGAUAUUCCUGCACUCAUGUGGGAGUGUCGAAGCUAACGCGUUAAGUAUCCCGCCUGGGGAGUACGGUCGCAAGAUUGAAACUCAAAGGAAUUGACGG
rnacentral:rRNA from 1 species